rnacentral:rRNA from 1 species
AACGAACGCUGGCGGCAGGCUUAACACAUGCAAGUCGAGCGCCCCGCAAGGGGAGCGGCAGACGGGUGAGUAACGCGUGGAUAUCUGCCUUUUGGUUCGGAAUAACCCCGGGAAACUGGGGCUAAUACCGGAUGGUUCCUUCGGGAUAAAGAUUUAUCGCCAAAAGAUGAGUCCGCGUACGAUUAGCUAGUUGGUGAGGUAAUGGCUCACCAAGGCGACGAUCGUUAGCUGGUCUGAGAGGACGAUCAGCCACACUGGGACUGAGACACGGCCCAGACUCCUACGGGAGGCAGCAGUGGGGAAUAUUGGACAAUGGGGGCAACCCUGAUCCAGCCAUGCCGCGUGAGUGAUGAAGGCCUUCGGGUUGUAAAGCUCUUUUGGCGGGGACGAUGAUGACGGUACCCGCAGAAUAAGCCCCGGCUAACUUCGUGCCAGCCGCCGCGGUAAUAC